AUAAGAGAAGAGAGAUGUCCUGUGUAUGCUAAGAAACUUAGAAUUGUCUGUUGGAGAUUAAUCCAGGGGAAAAGGCAAGAAAAACAAUUUUAAUCUAUAUAGGAGGCAACAGAGAAGUUUCUGGGAUUCCAUUUUUCACACCUUACAUCAUAAUGAAUAAAUUAUCCAAGAUCAUGUCAGCUGCCCUUCUAAUCACCAUGCUAAAUUUGUUUUUUCAAGUUGUCUCUGAGAAGCCCGGAGAAAAUGGUAAGUUUAAGAAUGAGUGAAGUAAUAGAUCUGAAUACUUAUUGUACUGGACUUAUGGUGUCAAGAAAAGUUUUGCAGUUUUUUUGAGUACCUGAAGAAAGUAAUUUCCACAGAUAUUAUCUGGUAUACUCAUUCUAUCAUUUUAUCACUCAGUGGUCACAUUAAACUUGUACUGACCCUGGGAAUCAACACUGCUAAAGACAUAAGAUUGCAGACUCCAGAAUCUGGAGGGUUCACAAAUUCUAGUGGAGGAAUAAUGAGAAUGAGGGGAUUAUUCAGGAAGAAUUAGGACUAAUCUGUAUGAAUUUUUUUUUAAGUUCACAGUAAGGUUUUACUUUUUCAACUUUUUUCUUCCAGUUUAAGAUAUAACUGACACACUGUACUGUAUAAGUUUAAAGUAGAGAGCAGAAUCAUUUGCCUUACAUUUAUCAUGAAAUAAUUAGUUUUAUAAUUUUAGUCAACAUCCGUCAUCUCAUAUAAAUACAUAUUUAAAAUAGAACAAAAAUUUUCCUGUGAUGAUAUCUCUUAAGAUUUACUCUCUUAACAACUUUCGUACAUAACAUACAGCAAUGUGAAUUACCUCUUUCAUUUUGUACAUUAUGUCCCUAGCAUUUCUUUAUCUUAUAACUGAAAACUCUGUACCCUUGACUACCCUUUUCAAAUUCCCCUUCCUCCACUCCCCUCUUCUAGUAACCACAAGUUGGAUCUUUUUUUUCUAUGAGUUUUUUUAUUUGUAUGUUCUUGAAGUAUAAUUGACCUAAAAUACUAUUAAAGUUCUGGUACACAACAGAGUGACUAAAUAUUUCUAUGUUUCAAAAUCAUUACCAGGAUAAGUCUAGUUACUCUUUGUCACCAUAAAAAGAUAUUACAUAAUUAUUUACUAUACUUCCCACCCUGUACAUUUCCUAUUUGUGACUCAAUUAUUUUGUAACUGUAAGGUCGUACCUCUUAGUCUCCCUCAUCUACAUCCCUACUCAUCCCAACCCCUCCUCUCUGACAAAUACCUGUUUGCUCUCUAGAUGUAUGAUUCCAUUUCUAUUUUGUUGUUUUAGUUCGUUUGUUUGAUGUCUCUUUGAUUCCACAUAUAAGUGAAAUCAUUCAGUAUUUUCUUUCUCUGUCUUAUUUAUUUCACUUAGCAUAAUACCCUCUAGGUCAUCCAUGUUGUCACACAUAGCAAGAUUUCAUCCUUUUAUAGCUAGUAGUAUUCCAUUAUAUUAUUUUUCAUUCAUUAGUUGAUAGGCACUUAGGUUGUUUUCAUAUCUCAGCUACUGUAAAUCUGUAAAUAAUACUUCAGUGAACAUUGGGUGCAUGUAUCUUUUCAAAUGAGUGUUUUUGUUUUCUUCAAAUAAAUGAAUCCAGGAG
rnacentral:lncRNA from 9 species